CUUCUAAUUUGCUCUCCUUUUGAACUUCUCUAUAAUCACCUCUAGUUUAGCUUGACAGUAAAGGCACACCUCAUUUCAUUGUGUUUUGCUUUAUUGCACUUCGCAAAUAUUGUGGUGUUGUUGUUUUUUUACAAGAGUUUCCACCAGCAAAAAGAUUACAACUUCCUGAAGGCUCAGGUGGCGAUUAGCGGGGGUGUUUUUUAGCAAUAAAAUAUUUUUAAUUAAGUGGAACUGGAACUGAACCGGCAAUAUCUCCGAAAUAUGCCUGUAUUUUAAUACGAAUUUUUCAGACGGUAAAACUCAGUGAAAUUAAAGCAACUUCAUCUUUUAACCCGGCUCCUGUCAAUGUUUUUGGAACGUGGUCUCCGAAAUCCACAGAGGCUGAGACCUUGGCUUGGAAGAACAUUGAACUCAGAUCUUUUCAUUUUCAUGGCUUCUGAUGCUCAGUCAAGCGGAGGAAGAAAAGACUGCCUUGUGGCAGGAAAUGUUGACAGCUUGGCAUUUUGGAGACCUUGACCAUCGGGGAAACAAGACAAGCUGACAAGUCUGGUCUUCUCCAGAUUCUUCUCCAGUUUGACCAUCACAGGCUGCUACAAAUGAUUUUCUUUCAUACUUCAGCCAUCCAAAGAGCACCCAGAAACUCAGCAACUUCCCUGAAGCCUUCAGAGGCCCUCUAAGACGUGAAAAUUAAGGGGUGAAUUUCUGGAGUUUUGUUCUGUUGCAGUGCAUCCAUUUCCAGGGUCCAAGAAAAAAAAAACAUUCAAGAG